UUCCUACGGGGGGCAGCAGUAGGGAAUCUUCCACAAUGGACGAAAGUCUGAUGGAGCAACGCCGCGUGAGUGAAGAAGGGUUUCGGCUCGUAAAGCUCUGUUGGGUGUGAAGAAAGAUAGAGGUAGUAACUGGCCUUUAUUUGACGGUAAUUAAUUAGAAAGUCACGGCUAACUACGUGCCAGCAGCCGCGGUAAUACGUAGGUGGCAAGCGCUGUCCGGAUUUAUUGGGCGUAAAGCGAGUGCAGGCGG
rnacentral:rRNA from 1 species